UACAGAGGAUGCAAGCGUUAUCCGGAAUGAUUGGGCGUAAAGCGUCUGUAGGUGGCUUUUUAAGUCCGCCGUCAAAUCCCAGGGCUCAACUCUGGACAGGCGGUGGAAACUACCAAGCUGGAGUACGGUAGGGGCAGAGGGAAUUUCCGGUGGAGCGGUGAAAUGCGUAGAGAUCGGAAGGAACGCCGGUGGCGAAAGCGACGUGCUGGACCUCUUCUGACGCUGAGGCGCGAAAGCUAGGGGAGCAAACGGG
rnacentral:rRNA from 1 species